CUCAGGCACGCAGGAACACAGGCAGCCAAGCAAGGCGAGGUGCCAGAUCACCAUCUAUGUGCUUGCUGACUGCUGCCGAGACUGCAACUCUAAAUGGUGAGCUUUGGCUCUGGAGCCCUUCCCAGACAGAGGAAAGCAUGCCGAUAGCAACACACGAAGAGGAGACCACAUGCACCAGCAAAUCCUCCUGCUCGUCUGGACGAAAAACAAUGACAACUGCCAAAACCUGGAAACAGGAACAAAAGCAUAUUUCUGCAUUUGUGAGGAAGUUGUAUCUGGCAGUGAGAACAUAAGGAGCAGGUCUGCUGGGGGAUAUCGACUGACUCACUGUCUGCGAUGUGGCAAGGUACAUAAAUCCCUGCUUUGGGAUCCUGCAGUGCACAAGUCACCAGAUGGUGCUGUACAUACAGACUUGAAAGUUCUUUAUCUUGACAUGGGAACAGCGUGAUUCACCUACUUGAUACCAGUUUGGUUUGAUGCUGCUUCUGAAUAUUGAGCCACAGCUGGUCUGCCACAAUUAUAUAGAGUCCUUAUUUCAGACUGUGACUCAACAAACUGCUACUGUCAUGAACAGUGCUCCUGAUUCCUUCUACAAUGCUUUUGUGGCAACAAAAUGCACCUUACUUCCAACAUUUGAUCAUUACCUGAAAAUUCACAGUGUAUAAGCCCAUCAAAAAAUUAAGAAAUGCACGGAGUGACUCCUAUGAGAUCAUUUACUACCAGCGAAGGGCAAUUAAUGGAUUGCAAGCCAUGACUGGCUUUCCUGGGAGCUACAAAAUCGGGAGUAGGAAUCAAAGAGGUAAGAGAUCUGCUGAAUUUCACUAUCACUGCACUCCCUACUUGACACUGACAGUCCCAGUUCCUACCUCUGUUCACUGGGUUUGCAAUACUCUGACAAAGGGAUCCUCUCAUUUACCAACUGUAAUUCCAAAUGAGGAAUGAAAAGAUUGAUUAGGCAAAAGUCUGUCAGGUAAUCAGUCAUUUUUACUAUGCAUACUUCAAUGUUUAUGGACUUUUCCAGGCUAUUAUACGCUUCCAAGUAUCAAAGAAACUUACGAUUACGAUCAGGAGUUGGACUUGAUGACCCUGGUGGGUUCCUUCCAGCUCCGGACGUUCUAUGGUUCUAUGAUUACCUCCUCAGGAGCUGAUGAAAAGCAUAAGAUUCUUCUUUACUACCUAAUUCAUUCAAAUGGAGUUACCUCAUUACUAUUAUUAAUACAUUUACUGCAUUGUUUGUCCCAAACACAGGAAUACAGUUUUACUUUCCUAAUGCAUGCCUGCAAAUGGGAAUUAUCACUGCUGUGGAACUGGCUACAGGUCUGUCUAGAUCAGUAAUUAAUAACAGUCUAGACCAAAUUGCGUCAAUGCAAAGUGUGCUGUACCCACAGAAAUAAACUCCCAGCAUUUAGGUUAAAAAAAUGGAGAGUUGAAUCAGGCAUCAAUAAACUGAAGGGCAAACUACGUCAUAAUUGUAUCUGCUUGCACAUUUGUCUCUGCACUUCCAAGCAUGUAAAACAUCUUCUCAAGCCACUUACCUUAACC